rnacentral:rRNA from 1 species
AACGAACGCUGGCGGCGUGCCUAACACAUGCAAGUCGAACGAGAAAGUGGCUUCGGCUCCGCGUAAAGUAGCGCACGGGUGAGUAACACGAGGGUAACCUGCCCCGGAGAUUGGGAUAACUCGUCGAAAAAUGAGCAAAGACCGCAUAAGACGACAGAUUCCGCGGGAAAAGUGGGGCAAGGUAGUCACUGCAUGCAAGCAAUGCCGUAGGGUUGGGCCUGCGCACCAUUAGUUAGUUGUUAGGGUAACGGCCUACCAAGGCAAAGAUGGUUAGUGGGUAUGAGAGGAUGGUCAGCCACCCUGGUACGGAGACACGGUCCCGACUCCUCCGGGAGGCAGCCGUGGGGAAUAUUGCGCGCUGGGGGAGAGAUUGACGCAGCAACGCCGCGUGAGUGAUGCAGGAAUUCCGGUCGUGAAGCUCUGUCGGGAGGCACGAAUGAUCCUGAGGUUAACAGCCUCGGGAGGUGACGGUACCUGAAAAGGAAGCCCCGGCUAACUCUGUG